rnacentral:misc_RNA from 1 species
GAGAAUUGUCCUCUCAAGAGAACUUCCUUUUUUGUGGUGUAGUCUCUUGUCUAGCUAAUAACUUCCACUGGGGUAACUCCCCCCUCACCUGAAAAGUGGAUAUUCCUUCCCUACCUACGGGCGAGUUUGUAAAUAAUCUUGAUAUUUUUUUUGGUAGCAGAUCUGAUGUGCGUUGGUGAGGGAGCUUUUGGAUAUUCCUUGCUCUUGCUUUUGGAUGUGUGUCGAUUUCUACUCCACCCAUGCCACCACUAGUAAUCGAAGCCCAAUCCAUUAAACCCGCCCCUUUCAAAUGCCUCUUCUUUCUCUCAAAACAUCCUUCUUAUAGAUUAACCACAUCUAUGAAUUCGCGAUUCACAUCUUUACCCAUAUCCCAAAUUGCUUAUGUGCCUUAUUCCUCCUCUUCUUCUUCUUUGAUGAUGUGCCUUCUUCAUCUUAACGAUUCAAAUUUCAUUAUCGUUUUUUAUUAAGUUGUAUACUUGUAUUGACUGGAUUUUAUUUUAUUAAGUAUUGUUAACUUUCCAGAUUUGUUUGUUGAAAUUUAAUGUUGAUUUUUCAAAUUUGUUUGUUGAGAUUUAUUUGUGAUUUUCUAUGUUUAUUUUGUUGAGAAAGUAGCAAGGGUGAGUUGUGUGCGAUAUGAGAGAGGCUUGGCUUUCUCACUAAUUAAUAGUGAUUUAACCAUGAUAUUAAUGGUAAGGCCUAAUGUGUUCUUUUUUAGAAUAUAAAGGAUUAAAUAGAUAAAUUUUAAAAAUAUAAUAAUUAAAUUAUAAAUAUUACUAUAUCAUAGAAACUAAAUUAUAAUUUAUUUUUUAAUAAAAGAACAUUGUCUUCUGGGCCUUGAGCCUGCUUUGUAUUUCUACUUGCAAUGGACUCAAUGCCCUCCGUUUCCUUCCCAGAAAUACAACUUUUUAAUCGACAAAAAAAAGAGGCGCUAACUGUAUGAACUCAGACAAGGAGUCGCACCAAAACGGCAACACCACAUCCAUUUUCUCUCCCAUCCAAUUCUUCUGUUGUCUCCCACCCUUUUUGGGUGAUCCGCUGCAUCGCCGGUCCAUCCAAAACAAAUGGAUUCGUCGCCGAUCAACAGAUUGCCCCAGGAUACGCUCCACCAGAUCUUCUCCUCUCUUCCGCUUCGGCAAAUCAUGAUCUGCCGGUCAGUCUGCAAGUUCUUUAAUCAGAUUUUGACUUCGCCUUCUUUCUUGGACCUUAUCUCCACCCAACCCCCUCUUCGUUUCCUUGCUCUACGGCCCCCUCACCACCAUCACCACCACCACCACCACCACCACUUCCAUCACCACUUCCACCGCCACCGCAUUCUCCUAUAGCUCCAGCACCAUGACCACCACCUUCUCCUCCACCAUUACCACCUCCACCACCACCACCACUGGAACUGCUAGUCCCUCCAAUGCUUGACACGAUGCCAGAUUCACCAACAGCCAGUGAUUUCAGAAAUAAUAGAAUACUUCCACCGGAUCCACCUCCAGGCCCUAUGUACUGACCUCUAGUUAGAUAGCCUUUCUUCCCGAAGCUUUCUUCAAAGCUGUCCCCAUCAGAGACAACUUUGCCUUUAACCGACAAAGACAUCAGGGGAUGCUCCAAUGAACCUAUCACAAGAACACCACCACCAGAAGUUGAUCCAGCAAGGCUACUAUUCCCACUUCCACUGCCGAGUUCACAUGGCAAAUUGGGAUCUCCAUAUGUGAUGCCACCCCCAAUGCAGCUUCCAUUAUAAUAUCCAUAUCCGCCUCCACCACCAUGACCAGCACCACUACCAAGACCAUUGCUCAGAACUUUUCCUUGGCCUACUCCUCCAGUGCAGCCCAUUCCCGAUGUGCUAAUAAUUCCAUAAGGUUGCACAUCUAUAGUCCUUGCUCUGUGGAAAUGAACAACAGAUCCUUCUAUGAGGCCUUCAACAAGGAUAUCUUCAACUCGACAGAUCUGUAAAGUAAAGGACAAUGAAGAGUUCACGUUGCAGUCUUCAGGGGGGUGGAGCAAUUCAAAAGGACAACCUGGACUAUCACAGUUCAACUUUGGUUUCACAGCAUCAGCUGUCGCAUUUCGUGAAGGACCACGCAAAACAGAUCCUGGGCCAAUGUUGACACUGUAAAACAAAGACAGUACUAGUCUUUGAGCUUCAAUUGCAUCUCCUGGUCCAGACAAAUUCAGCAACCCUUGGCCAUGAACUCCAAGAUUUGCAUUCGAACGAAUUUGAGAUGACUCCUUAAGAACAAUUAGGUUACUAGCCUCAACCAUUGAUGUCUCAACAUUUUGAUCACCACCACCAUCAAUUAUCAUUUGUGAAUUCCACAUCAGAAACAUUUUGACAGACAUUCGUAGCGCCCCAAAAACCUUAAUUACAGAAUCACUCAUCAAAAGCUCUUCUGCCAAUAAUUCAAACUCUGACAUUGCAUAACGUGCCAGCCCAAAGCUCAGUGUUCCUUGACACAACAGGCUAAUUUGACCUUGGACCUGAACGCGACUCCACAGCAAGGGGACAGCAGCCUUAGCAUGGUUGCGAAUAUAAACAUUCGUCAGCAGUGGCUGGGGAAGAUCCAACAGAAGUGUGUCUGUAGAAGUUGAUCUAUUGUGGUUGUUGACAGUAAGACUACGGGGGACAUUAUCAUAAAAUGUUCCUGCUGCGCCAGCAUUUUCUGCGCAACCACGACUGCUUCCUCCAUAUACAAAGAUUUCUGGUUCAUCGUGUCUACUAAAAAUAUCCACAGAAACUCUUCCACCACCUCCACCAGCAAAACCGUCACCUCCACAAGCACUUAUUCUACCAAUUCCAGUCCUUUUGUCCCUUGAAGGUGACCUUCUACACAGUAUACACCCUUGUUAAAAAAAAGGGUAACCUUCUAUACACAAUUUUCAGAAGUGAACCUUAAGAAAUGAUAGCUUUUACAUCUUAUAAGCUCUUAUCUGGAUGCUACCACCAGAGCCGCCGCCGCCUUUGACACCACCAUCACCUCCAUCAGCCAACAAACUGCCAUUCACUUCUAGAAACUUGUCCACCAACAGCAUUAAUCUUCCACCUCCACCCCCACCAUAGUCCAUAGUCUUACUCGUUGUCCCACCUUUACUUCCAUAACUCCAUGGUGUUUGCAAUGUGGACCAUCCAUAAGCAUCGCCACCCCAGACAUCCUCCGGCAUCUUCUUUUUAUCUGUCAAACAACCAGCCCCUCUUCCACCAUAACCCCCACCUGCUCCCUCUACUCCUUGUGGUGUCCCACUAGUCUGAGCAGGCGCUGAACCAGCCAAGCCAGUGGUAUUCACAGCAGAACUAUUACAAAAGGUAGCAUUAUCUGCCACCAGCUGGAAUGUUCCAGCUAGAUUCACGGAAUUCUCACCCA